rnacentral:piRNA from 1 species
UGCCGAGGAAGCAUGACAGUUGCCUGCCC